GUGUAUGUCUGUCGUGUUUUCUGACCCCAAAUAAUAAAUACUUUCGCAAGAUAUGUUUCUAGCCUCUUGGUGUUUUUUCAUGGUAUGCACUUCAAGGUCACACAUGAAACAGGCCAUUGGGAAGCGGAAAUAUCCGCGCCUCCGUCCUCCGUCCCCAUUUCGAAAUCAGUUCCUACACACCUGUUACAUAAAGCAAGAGAAAGAGAACGAAAAAUACCCGUUUACUGGAAACCUGCCGCGGAAAUUGUCUGGAUUUCAUUAGAAGUGUUUGUGUUUGCUCUCUUCAUAUUGAAUAAGUCGUUGUGCCACCAUAAUCACUGGACGAUAAGGAACCUUUAAGCGCUUUACAAAUAAGGCUCAGACUUUUUCUCGAGGUCUCGUGUCUUCCAUUAGGGAGUAGCGGAUACAUCGAUUCCUUUUAUUAAUUUUGAUGAGGAGAACCAGAGUAACAGUGUUAAGUACUGGUGUUCUAUUGGAUGAAGACGCAGACUACAAACUAGGACUCUGUCAUGAAAUAGAUGGCGCUGUGUAACACAUGUUGAUGACUGAUCUUUGACGUCCUGUAUCCGACAGCAGGAAAUGGCUUUGUCUUCUAACAUGUCCUUUAUCGUCAGUUCUGCGGACAUAAUCGGGACCGUCUUUGUACUUCUGCCACUGGUUGUCCAACUUAUCCUUAUGGUUCUGUCCAUUCUACGCGCUAAAGGAACAAGCAUUCAGGAGGAAGAGGAAUACUGUUUCACCGGAAGUGAUGUUAAUAACAACUGUAAAGAAAUUGUACGAUCCACAGCAGAACAAAAACCGGAGAACAAGUAGACCAUGGGAAUGUCUAUCGUUCUUCACAGCCUCAGUAUGGUCUAUUGGUCCACUGUAUCAAAUGAACUGUCAAACAGAAACUCACGGCGAACUCGUAGACACGGAUAUUCCAGUGACAGCGGAGCGGGGGUAUACCUCCCCAUUCCCUGCGAGUUGGUUUGGUUGGAUAACUUUACGAGAAAAGAUCACUUUGCGUCAGUUAUGGGGUUGUGAUCAGACAAAAAAAAACUUACCGUGUUAGACUGCAAUUCCUUUUGAAUAUUUUCUGUGGAUGCGCCUUCUAUGUUCUCUCUUGUUGGAGUAGGAGUUAAGAUUGUCAAGUGAAAAGAAAGACAGUAUGCCAGUGUAUUUUACUGAUUUACUUUGUGCCAAAACUAAGCAUUAAAUGUAGUUAUUUCAGAAAUUAAGAUAGAUGUGUCUACAAUGUAUAUUAGAUAAAAUUCAUGUAUAGAUAUUAAAA